rnacentral:rRNA from 1 species
AUUGAACGCUGGCGGCAGGCCUAACACAUGCAAGUCGAACGGUAACAGGAAGAAGCUUGCUUCUUUGCUGACGAGUGGCGGACGGGUGAGUAAUGUCUGGGAAACUGCCUGAUGGAGGGGGAUAACUACUGGAAACGGUAGCUAAUGCCGCAUAACGUCGCAAGACCAAAGAGGGGGACCUUCGGGCCUCUUGCCAUCGGAUGUGCCCAGAUGGGAUUAGCUAGUAGGUGGGGUAACGGCUCACCUAGGCGACGAUCCCUAGCUGGUCUGAGAGGAUGACCAGCCACACUGGAACUGAGACACGGUCCAGACUCCUACGGGAGGCAGCAGUGGGGAAUAUUGCACAAUGGGCGCAAGCCUGAUGCAGCCAUGCCGCGUGUAUGAAGAAGGCCUUCGGGUUGUAAAGUACUUUCAGCGGGGAGGAAGGGAGUAAAGUUAAUACCUUUGCUCAUUGACGUUACCCGCAGAAGAAGCACCGGCUAACUCCGUG